rnacentral:rRNA from 1 species
CUACGGAGGGUGCAAGCGUUAAUCGGAAUUACUGGGCGUAAAGCGUACGUAGGCGGUUCGUUAAGUUAGAUGUGAUAGCCCCGGGCUUAACCUGGGAACUGCAUUUAAAACUGGCGAACUAGAGUUGAGUAGAGGGGAGUGGAAUUUCAGGUGUAGCGGUGAAAUGCGUAGAGAUCUGAAGGAACACCAGUGGCGAAGGCGACUCCCUGGACUCGAACUGACGCUGAGGUACGAAAGCGUGGGUAGCAAACGGGAGUAGAUACCCUAGUAGUCC